rnacentral:rRNA from 1 species
GGUGGGGUAAAAGCCUACCAAGGCGACGAUCCGUAACUGGUCUGAGAGGACGACCAGUCACACUGGGACUGAGACACGGCCCAGACUCCUACGGGAGGCAGCAGUGGGGAAUUUUGGACAAUGGGCGCAAGCCUGAUCCAGCAAUGCCGCGUGUGUGAAGAAGGCCUUCGGGUUGUAAAGCACUUUUGUCCGGGAAGAAAUCUGUCUGGCUAAUACCUGGACGGGAUGACGGUACUGGAAGAAUAAGCACCGGCUAACUACGUGCCAGCAGCCGCGGUAAUACGUAGGGUGCGAGCGUUAAUCGGAAUUACUGGGCGUAAAGCGUGCGCAGGCGGCUCUGUAAGACAGAUGUGAAAUCCCCGGGCUCAACCUGGGAACUGCAUUUGUGACUGCAAGGCUAGAGUGCGUCAGAGGGAGGUGGAAUUCCGCGUGUAGCAGUGAAAUGCGUAGAUAUGCGGAGGAACAUCGAUGGCGAAGGCAGCCUCCUGGGAUGACACUGACGCUCAUGCACGAAAGCGUGGGGAGCAAACAGGGUUAGAUACCCUGGUAGUCCACGCCCUAAACGAUGUCAACUAGUUGUCGGGGAUUCAUUUCCUUGGUAACGCAGCUAACGCGUGAAGUUGACCGCCUGGGGAGUACGGCCGCAAGGUUAAAACUCAAAGGAAUUGACGGGGACCCGCACAAGCGGUGGAUGAUGUGGAUUAAUUCGAUGCAACGCGAAAAACCUUACCUGCGCUUGACAUGCCAGGAACUUUCCAGAGAUGGAUUGUGCCCGAAAGGGAACCUGGACACAGUGCUGCAUGGCU